AUGUAGAAGGAAGGGAAGGCACCUAGAUGCCAAAAUCCCAACUUGGGGUGUGUCGAACUUUCUUUUAGGGGAUAACCCUUGUAUAUACACAGUAGGUAAGUAGAUAGGUGAGUAAUCCUGAGCUAAAAAUAGCAAUAGGAGCUCAAAGAAGAAAGUUCUGCAAAAGAUGCUAAUAUGACAUAUAUCUAAAAGAUAGCUUUAUUGGAAAAGGGUCUACUCAAGGUAUGAUCCCUAAUAAAAGAGACAGACUUAAUUAAACUAAAUACACCAUAACCACUAAAACGUAAUGAUAUACAUUAGGAGUAAUGGACUCCAACACAAAAUCUAGAGAGAGAGCUGGGAAGAAAAUAUCUGUAGCCACAAUACUAAUAUCGAGCAGCAAGAAUCCCUAAACACCAAUCCUGAUGUGUACAGGCCCAUAUGUGGUGAAAGAGUAAGAGAGAAAGAGACUAGAAUACAGAAUAUGUCUGUAUCUGUCUGACUGCCAG